rnacentral:rRNA from 1 species
AACGAACGCUGGCGGCAUGCCUAACACAUGCAAGUCGAACGAGACCUCCGGGUCUAGUGGCGCACGGGUGCGUAACGCGUGGGAACCUGCCCUUAGGUUCGGAAUAACUCCCCGAAAGGGGUGCUAAUACCGGAUAAUGUCUUCGGACCAAAGAUUUAUCGCCUUUGGAUGGGCCCGCGUUGGAUUAGCUAGUUGGUAGGGUAAAAGCCUACCAAGGCGACGAUCCAUAGCUGGUCUGAGAGGAUGAUCAGCCACACUGGGACUGAGACACGGCCCAGACUCCUACGGGAGGCAGCAGUGGGGAAUAUUGGACAAUGGGCGAAAGCCUGAUCCAGCAAUGCCGCGUGAGUGAUGAAGGCCUUAGGGUUGUAAAGCUCUUUUACCCGGGAUGAUAAUGACAGUACCGGGAGAAUAAGCUCCGGCUAACUACGUG